rnacentral:rRNA from 1 species
GCGGUAGGGGAGAUUGGAAUUCCUGGUGUAGCGGUGGAAUGCGCAGAUAUCAGGAGGAACACCAAUGGCGAAGGCAGAUCUCUGGGCCGUAACUGACGCUGAGGAGCGAAAGCAUGGGGAGCGAACAGGAUUAGAUACCCUGGUAGUCCAUGCCGUAAACGUUGGGAACUAGAUGUAGGGACCAUUCCACGGUCUCUGUGUCGCAGCUAACGCAUUAAGUUCCCCGCCUGGGGAGUACGGCCGCAAGGCUAAAACUCAAAGGAAUUGACGGGGGCCCGCACAAGCGGCGGAGCAUGCGGAUUAAUUCGAUGCAACGCGAAGAACCUUACCAAGGCUUGACAUAUACCGGAAACGGCUGGAAACAGUCGCCCCGCAAGGUCGGUAUACAGGUGGUGCAUGGUUGUCGUCAGCUCGUGUCGUGAGAUGUUGGGUUAAGUCCCGCAACGAGCGCAACCCUCGUUCUAUGUUGCCAGCACGUAAUGGUGGGAACUCAUAGGAGACUGCCGGGGUCAACUCGGAGGAAGGUGGGGACGACGUCAAAUCAUCAUGCCCAUUAUGUAUUGGGCUUCACGCAUGA